GUUAAAUGAUGAAGCAAUUUUGCCAGUUCUGCUUCUGAUUGAACAGAGAAGACAACUUACUUACCACUUCUGAUUU